AAAUCACAGAUAAAUCCCAAACCAAAUUCAUUCUUCAUUCAUUUCAUGCUCAUUUUCUGCAGCUGCUGCGGGACGGCACUUUGCAGGGUCUCACUUGAAGACUGCACAGCUUAACUUUGAAAAUUUUCCCUCCUUUCUUUCUCCUCUUCUUUGCUUCUCCUUCUUUUUCUUCUUCUACGACUCUUCUUUGCCUCCUUCUCCAGCGCAGUGCCAAGAUGCUCUGUGUCUUCUCUGGGAGAAUCGUCCUCACUGCACCGUCUUCCUUUGCUCCCCGGUUUGAUGUCCAGGCAAUGUUUUUGUGUUUUUACCCUUCAUUCCUCCAUCUGGAUGUCUGUGUUUCCAUCCUGAAGACAUGACAGUAGUGACCUCCAUGCAUGAAGCAUUUUUCCUCUUCUUCUCUUUAGAGCUGCUGGGGGUUUGUGGCGCACAGCUCAUCUGCAGCAGCGGAUCAGGAAACUUCAGCAGUGAUGCAGAGUGCACCGAUGAUAAAUGUUUGCAAAAUCACAGAUAAAUCCCAAACCACAUUCAUUCUUCAUUCCUUUCAUGCUCAUUUUCUGCAGCUGCUGCGGGACAGCACUUUGCAGGGUCGCACUUCAACAGUGCACAGCUUAACUUUGAAAAUUUUCCCUCCUUUCUUUCUCCUCUUCUUUGCUUCUCCCUCUUUUUCUUCUUCUACGACUCUUCUUUGCCUCCUUCUCCAGCGCAGUGCCGAGAUGCUCUGUGCCUUCUCUAGGAGAAUCGUCCUCACUGCACCGUCUUCCUUUGCUCCCCGGUUUGAUGUCCAGGCAGUCUUUUUGUGUUUUUACCCUUCAUUCCUCCAUCUGGAUGUCUGUGUUUCCAUCCUGAAGACAUGACAGUAGUGACCUCCAUGCAUGAAGCAUUUUUCCUCUUCUUCUCUUUAGAGCUGCUGGGGUUUUUUG